rnacentral:rRNA from 1 species
UACGUAGGGGGCAAGCGUUGUCCGGAAUCAUUGGGCGUAAAGGGCGCGUAGGCGGCCUGCUAAGUCGAACGUGAAAUCCCUGGGCUCAACCCAGGAACUGCGUCCGAUACUGGUUGGCUUGAAUCCGGGAGAGGGAUGUGGAAUUCCAGGUGUAGCGGUGAAAUGCGUAGAUAUCUGGAGGAACACCGGUGGCGAAGGCGACAUCCUGGACCGGUAUUGACGCUGAGGCGCGAAAGCCAGGGGAGCAAACGGG